GACGUAGGGCGCGAGCGUUGUCCGGAUUUAUUGGGCGUAAAGAGCUCGUAGGCGGCUUGUCGCGUCGUUCGUGAAAACCUGCAGCUCAACUGCAGGCUUGCGGUCGAUACGGGCAGGCUAGAGUUCGGUAGGGGAGACUGGAAUUCCUGGUGUAGCGGUGAAAUGCGCAGAUAUCAGGAGGAACACCGAUGGCGAAGGCAGGUCUCUGGGCCACUACUGACGCUGAGAAGCGAAAGCGUGGGGAGCGAACAGG
rnacentral:rRNA from 1 species